UCGCUAGCUACGCGAGCAGGCGGGUCCACGCGGGCCACGCGUCCUUGACCUAUCGAGCCGAGCCGAGCCACAUCGCUUCGCUACUUUAUCCUCUUUCCUUAUCCCCACCGCUUCCAGUGCCUUCUCCCUCCUCCCAAAAAUGCAUUCACCUCAAAGCAUCCAACGCCAUGGCCAUGGCCGAGCUGCCAUGCUUUAUUUCCAGCUCGAGGCGCCACACCUAGCAACAAAUUAGGGGCCACAGAGCUUCAAUCGGCGAUUGGCGGAGCUGCAACCAUCUAUUUGGUCGAGCUGCAUCCAUCGACGCCGGGCGGCGGCGACUGCAACGCGGAGCAUAAGAGCUGCAUACAGCGGCGAGGGCGGCUGCAAUCAGCUGCGCCCCUCGACAACGGAGUUGCAACCGGCUUUUGGUGGAGCUACAAGGUUGGACGUUGAGAUGCGAUUAUUUUUGCUGGAACCGGAGGUGUUUUUUUUUUACUGGAAACAGGUGGUGCAGGUCAACGACGGUGGCGAGCCGAAGAUGGCGUCGCCGUGCUAUGAUGGGCUGCGUAAUUUGAUGGACCGACUUUUGUUCAGAGUUGCAUCUGGCAAGACGCGGUGUUGGAACGACGACGAGAUGAGGAGGGCGCACAACGACUUCUACUUCAAGUUGCGAAGAGAAGCGGGGAGCUGCAGUCGACGAUGAUGGCGGUGGCCGUGGAGGGGCCGCCGGAGACGCGGGACUCCGGCGGCUGCGCGGGCGGGGACAGCGAGGCAAUGGAUUUCGGCGAUCUGGGCUGCAUCCUCUCCUUUUUUUCUUUUUUUUCUCCCAUGUGUGUUCAGAUGCGAGAUGCGGGGGGCAAAGAGCUUUCGAUCUGACGGUUGGCAGUAAGCGAAGCGGACGCACAGGAUGCGACCGGCCCAAAUUUUCGGCCAGUGCGCCAGAUCAUAUUAUCACUGGC